rnacentral:rRNA from 1 species
UACGUAGGGUGCAAGCGUUGUCCGGAAUUAUUGGGCGUAAAGAGCUCGUAGGCGGUCUGUCGCGUCGGAUGUGAAAACUCGGGGCUCAACCCCCGAGCCUGCAUUCGAUACGGGCAGACUAGAGUUCGGUAGGGGAGACUGGAAUUCCUGGUGUAGCGGUGAAAUGCGCAGAUAUCAGGAGGAACACCGGUGGCGAAGGCGGGUCUCUGGGCCGAUACUGACGCUGAGGAGCGAAAGCGUGGGGAGCGAACAGG